rnacentral:rRNA from 1 species
GAUGAACGCUGGCGGCGUGCCUAAUACAUGCAAGUCGAGCGAACCACUUCGGUGGUGAGCGGCGAACGGGUGAGUAACACGUAGGAAUCUACCUAGUAGUGGGGGAUAGCUCGGGGAAACUCGAAUUAAUACCGCAUACGACCUACGGGUGAAAGGGGGCGCAAGCUCUUGCUAUUAGAUGAGCCUAAAUCAGAUUAGCUAGUUGGUGGGGUAAAGGCCUACCAAGGCGACGAUCUGUAACUGGUCUGAGAGGAUGAUCAGUCACACCGGAACUGAGACACGGUCCGGACUCCUACGGGAGGCAGCAGUGGGGAAUAUUGGACAAUGGGGGCAACCCUGAUCCAGCCAUGCCGCGUGUGUGAAGAAGGCCUUUUGGUUGUAAAGCACUUUAAGCAGGGAGGAGAGGCUAAUGGUUAAUACCCAUUAGAUUAGACGUUACCUGCAGAAUAAGCACCGGCUAAACUCUGUG